GAUGAAGAACGCAGCGAAAUGCGAUAAGUAGUGUGAAUUGCAGAAUUCAGUGAAUCAUCGAAUCUUUGAACGCACAUUGCGCCCCUUGGUAUUCCAUGGGGCAUGCCUGUUCGAGCGUCAUUUGUACCUUCAAGCUUUGCUUGGUGUUGGGUGUUUGUCUCGCCUUUGCGUGUAGACUCGCCUUAAAAUAAUUGGCAGCCGGCGUAUUGAUUUCAGAGCGCAGUACAUCUCGCGCUUUGCACUCAUAACGACAGCGUCCAAAAGUACAUUUUACACUCUUGACCUCGGAUCAGGUAGGGAUACCCGCUGAACUUAAGCAUAUCAAUAAGCGGAGGA
rnacentral:misc_RNA from 1 species